UCCGGAUCCUCUCCAUUUCCCUUUGAAAUGGAGAGGGUCCAGUUCACGGUGGGGAUUUAUUUGAAAAUUAUCAAGGGCCAAAAACAUGCCACAUCAUUUAAAUGUAAACACCACACUUAACCCCAGUUAAACAUUUAAACUACUUUAACUCAGGUUAAACACUUAAACUAGAGGCACUCAACCGGACAAACCACUGAAAAUGUUUCAGACUCUCUUUCAAACUCUCUCUCACCAAACCCAUAUGAAAAUUUCAAACUCUCUUCUCCAAGGAUUUUCUCUCUGCAUUCCACGGUCCUCAGUGUCGCUGGUGCCACCAGCCAUCGUGCCAAGCCACUUUGUUGUGUGGGCUAUGUCUCACACCAACCUAGCAUCAGCGGAAAGUGCCGCCCACUUGCAGGCAUAGGCACUACCCAGCAUCACUGGACUGCUCCGCUAGAACAAUCACUGCCCACUUUUGGUUUUGAGCUUGGUGGGGUGUUUCAGAUUUGGGGGAUUUAUGGAUUGUUUUGAUCUAAAUUUGUUCUAAAAGCAAUGGGAUUUAUGUUUUGAUCUCUGUGUUUGUGAAAGAACCAUGUACUCCUCGAGAGGGAGCAAUGCGUUUGGGCAGCAAUCGUAUGCGGCUCAAUCGGCUGCGUAUGGCGCUAGUGAAUGGAAUGGGCAAGUUGUUUAACAUGAGGCAAGUCGAAGUGAUCAAGCUAAGAUUGAAAGUUGUGGACUUUGGAUGGAAUGUAUAGUCAAGAAGCAAGACGUGGAAUGCGUAGUCAAGCAAUAGGCACAACAAUUGUAGAAAUUUCAUGUUAUUAUAAUCAUGUAAUUAAAGUGUAUAUUUCAAUGGAAUUCUUGUUAUGUGACCAAAGUGUACAUUUUAAUAAAAUUUGUUCAUUUUUUAUUA